GACGAACGCUGGCUGCGUGCUUAACACAUGCAAGUAGAACGAAGUGGCGAACGGGUGAGUAAUACGUGGGUAACAUGACCACCUUUUGGGGAUAAGCCUUGUAAACGGGGUCUAAUACCGACAAAAGGGGGAUGGGCUCGCUGCCUAUCAGCUUGUUGGAGGGGUGAUGGCCUACCAAGGCGGUGCCGGGUAGCCGGCUUGAGAGGGUGACCGGCCACAUUGGGACUGGGAUACGGCCCAGAAUCCUACGGGAUGCAGCAGUGGGGGAUAUUGCACAAUGGGCGGUAGUCUGAUGAAGCGACGCCGCGGGGGGGAUGAAGGCUUUCGGGUUGUAAACCUCUUUCGCUAGCGAACGGGUAGGUGGAGAAGAAGCGCCGGCUAGCUACGUGCCAGCAGCCGCGGUAAUAC
rnacentral:rRNA from 1 species